CGACCCCUUCGACUCCUCUCAGUCUGUCUGCUCGAGCUACAAUCCCUUUGACUCCUCUUAGUUCAUCUGCUCGAGCUUUGACUCCUCAGUACUCCCAGCCCUGAUCAAAUCCCCCUGGAAUAGUAAAAACAAUACCUACAUAUCUGCAACAAACAUGCAACAAGGAAUUCACACCAACAAACUAAUUUGGUGCAACAAGAUUCCUCUGACUCGGAAUGUUUAUGUUUAAACUGAGUACUACGUGAGGUGCUGCUGGCUUUUGAGCGUUCUCUGUCCGAUAGUGAGCCAUCCUCUCCCGAACUAGGAUGGUGUUCAUGAUCAGCGCCUCUUUAACAAGCUCCAGUUUCCCCAUGCGCAACUCCUUUGUGGGAAUAUCUCGGUGAUCUUCUGAGUCUCCAUGAGCCUUUUUGGGAGGCAGGCUUGAGACGUAAGGCGUUGAUCAAACUUCACGAUUUUGAGCUGGUAUACAAGGUGCCAAAUCCUUUCACUGAUGAGGGAAGUUUCUGACCCUCCACAUCUGAUUAAGACCGUGAGGAACUGCUGGAUGUCAAACCCUCGAAACCUUCACAGGAUUUCAUGGGGACAGCUGAUGUCCUUAUAUGACUGAGACACAGCAGCUGGUGUUGGGGAGCUUGCACUGCACUGCUCAGGUAAUUAACUUACUAGUGUGUAUGCAUGAUUUUUUGUGCAUAAUUAUAGGUCUGGAGUGAAUCUGUCUGUAAGCAAAGGACUGAGAGAAGUGGGUGCUCUCAGCUCAGAGAAAAUUACAUGUGAGGAAUGUAAUACAUUCCCACACCCACUCACAGCCUCAGGGUCUCGUUAUUAUAGACAGGCAAGUCGUUUAUUGAAAUCGUACGCGAUUUUAAGUCCUAGGCCAAAGAAUCUGACAAAAUUUCUUUCUGUCGGUGCCAAACGCAACAAGGAGUGUAAAACUUAUGUAUAGAGGUGGUAGUAAAAAUGUACAGACAUUCACGAACUGUUCCCCAUAAUGCAGGAGACUCAAACCGAAAACAUUCUGAUCUUUACAAUGUCAUGACUUGUCUACUGUUUAAAUUGUUACG